rnacentral:lncRNA from 1 species
UAUCUAGAUCUACUCUAGUUUAGGGAUGAGAUGAGAGCUCUCAUCUCCAAACCCUAGCUUUUGCUCUGUCUAUGAAUAAUGAAUAAGGAUGAAGGGGUUGUCUCCUCCAGGGGCCACGGGGCCUGCUUAUAUAGCCCUUCCAAAUGAAUGUGGGCGGUCGGAUCAAACCGACCUUAAUCGCACGGUUUUCCUUGAUCCUUUAGGUCGGUGGAGCAUAAUCCGCGAGGCGAAACGUGAUUGGCUCCUGUAGCAGGGCGGGCACGCAUGGGGGGAGGGCGGGCGCCCUACCCCCGGGCCCGAUUGGCUUCUCGUUCGUUCCCAUGGCUUCUGGAGUCUUCUAGAUGAUGGAAAAUUGCACGGCACGUUAAUAUCUCUAUGUAAACCUGAAGUGUGGGCCUUUCCUCCAUAUUUCCUGAUAACCCCUUGUAGAAAUAGACAAACACCAAAACUCGUGGAAUUCUGUCAGAUAAAACCCUAAGUCUGGGUGUUGGUUGCAUCUGGAUCCUUUUCUUUGUUUAUUUGAUAAUUAAAUUUGGUACUUAAGGACCGUCAACAACUCCCCCAAGCUUACCUCUUGCUCAUCCCUGAGCAAGGAUGGACUCAAGAGUUUCUGCAGUGGUUUCAAGCCUUAAAUGUACACAAGCGUUCAAACAAGAUCUCAUCUCUAGGUUAGGGUAAGCUCUUAAGAUUUAAAACUUACUCAUUUUACCUUCCACCAUGGGGCUUGCAACCGUCACUUGUGUCUUGAGCAGUUAAAAGAUAAAACGGUCAAGUCAAGCGUCAUGUCUCUUGUUCUUGAUCAACUAUAGCUCUGGAGUUUUUGCAGAUUUUCAAAUAAAACUCAGAGAUUCCUUGUAUGACUCUCUCAAUUCUCUCUUUUGUGGUAUUUCUAGAUCCUUACCAAGGCAGUGAUGGUAUAUGCCUUCUCUCAAAGCAUGUGGUAUUUUUGGUAUGAGGCAUAGUGACAUUACGUUCUCUCUCACCCUACUCUAAUAAGGUUUUGAUAUCUGGAGCUCAUAGGUGGGAGACAGCUAAUACAUACUUACAAGACAUUUAUUGCAUAGUCAAACCAUGGAUCUAGAGAAACAAGUCAAUAAGUCAAAUCAAGAUGUGCAUGUGUGGCGAAUGAAUGGUGUAUGGUGAUGAUGGUGAUAAUGGUGAAAACGAUGGUGAAAGUCUAAUUCUACUUUUGCUCUUUUGAGGGGAUACAUACCUUUCUUGCACUUUCAAGCUUUUUGAGGGGGAAUGAGAUGCUCUAUAUUUUAUUUUUCUUUUCUCUUAGGUGGGUAUCUUGUACCCCUAAUUCUACUGUCGGACACUUGUGUAUUUUUACCUCUCGUCUCACUUUUUCUUUUCUUCGAGGUUCUGGGCACUUGCCCCUUUUUAUUUCCUCGUAUUUUUUUUCUUUUUUUCUUUUUUUAAAGCACUCACCUUCCUGGAAUAAUAUAGCAAGUGGUAGUAACCAAAAUAUCUCGAGCAUUUAUUUCACAGGGAAAAACAGGAAUGGGAUAAUGUUUUUGGCUAUUCUCUCCCGGAUAGGAGUAGAAUAAUUUUGGGUGAAUCUGAAGAUGGAAAUGAGUGGAUGUAUGUGGAUGCGUACUUCCGGAGUAGAAGCAGCAUGUAUGAGUGAACGUGCAAGUGAAUCAUGAUUUUAACCGCAUGACAAGCUCCUAAGGGUCUACACAGCUUGACCACACUCAAUGCUCAUAAGCAGUAAAAGUAAUGUAUGGUUCAUAGUCUAAUAAGCAUAUAUAUAUGACUGUGGUAGGAUUUUAAACUCUCAUCAUACAGGAACUUAUCAUGCAACAUUUUAAAGAUUUUCAAAGAUAAAAUUCUCUAGAAUUCUAGCAUCUCUAGGAACAGAUAAACAGCAGCUCAACCUUCUCAUAUCAUAUCCGUUAACGACUUAGACUUUUGAUCAGGUAUGCAAGCUUUAAAUUAUAACAGUUAUGCCUAAACUUGAGAGAGAGCUCAAAUUUAAAAACUAGGUACUUGGCAGAGCAACUAUUCAUCAUAUCCAUGUAAGAGUUUAUCAUUGGAGGUCAAUUUGGCAUAGACAUUUUAUUUAUUUAUUUAGCAAACUAAGCAAAGAUAUAAGCACCAAAUCUUUAUUUGGGUUUUUAUGAUUAUGCAUCAUUUUAUUGUUUGAGUAAAGUAUAAAUGCGAAUAUAAACACUUAGCUAGAUAAAUGGGGGUGCUCUCCCCCAAGCUGGAUUUUGACGUAAUUUCUUCUGAUGUAUCUAGCAGGUGGCAGAGGUGUAUUUGAAUGUCGGCAGCACCCUAACGGCGAUUAGGAUGUCCUCCGUCUGCUAGUCUUCUUUGAUCCUUGAAUUCUGUGGAGCUCAAAUAGACAACAAAGCUUUGUGGAACUAGUUAAGUGUUAGCAUAAAUAUCUAGCCUUUAUCAUGUUGAGCUUCCUCUAAUAAAUUUUACUCUCUUUGGUAGGAUCAUAAUCUUAUUUUUAUAUUUUCAUUUUUAUAAGACAGGAAUAUUUUUAUUUUUACGCCACCAUAGUGAAUGUACUUAUUUUGAAUAUGCUUACUAUUUUUAAUUUCUUUUCAAGAUAGCAUGAUUUAACUAACAAGCUAUUUAAGGAAAGUCAAUAAUUUGAGAGAAAAGGGAAUGCAGAAAGGAUAAAUAUGGAUAACUACCGAUUUUACCUUUCGGCGAGGGUUCAUUCUUUAGGUGCGUCAUUUGAUUCAGGUGUGGACCUUGAUGUCUGCACCUCUUGAUACGGUGUCACCCAUGUUCUUUGUUUGCCCAGCAAUUCGAAGUGCGGCGUUGGCAGUAUCUUGCACAGUGUGUUUGUGCUCGUAGAUCCACGUCCUUCACUUGGUAGAGUCUAGGAGUUGAAAAAUCCUCCAUGUUUCUCACAAUGUGUCCUCCUCAUAGAGACAAGGCAGAGAUCAAGUGCAUGGGUCCUGUUGGUGGAAAACACCAACAGAACCAAAAGUGUAUUUGUUCUUCUCUAACCUUAAGCAUAGUGACCAAGACAAAGUUGAUGGAUAAUAAGAUCAUGAGUGUAGCAUUUAAAACAUUUGUCAGAUCAGAUCACUCAACCUAAUGGAAAGAUAAUCUAUCUAUGUAUAUGUCUUUUUCUUUAUAUCUUCCCAAAGAUUGAAUGUGCAACAUUUUAGCCCAUAUGAUUGGGGGUGUGGGAUCAUGGAGGUAGUACUAGGAAUAAAGAUUAAAGGAUUAAACAUGCUAAAUCAGUUGGGUUGGUUAAUUUAGAGUUAUAAAUCAUACAUGUUUGUCUCUUUAUUUAUGUGAACGCCAGAACCAGGAAGAAGCUUAUAAAAGUGAUAGUCACAUAUCUUAAGAUGUUAUCUUAAUUGAAGAGUGAUGGUAUCAUCUCACCUUGUGGAAGCUUCCCAUUCGUAGUGGCUGUGUAUCUUGUUUAUGUACUUUGUCUCCUUCCAUGGAUCAUCUCUCUAUGAUGAAUGAGCUAUGUCCUUCUUGUGCAAAUUGUUAAACUUCAUGUGUCUCUCUCUUCAUCUCCGAUGUGAGUUUAUCUCAGGACUUCCAAAUUGAUAUUGGAAGUUUUUCUGCAGGGGUUAGUCCGACAAAAUAUACCAAGCAGUUUUCAGUUCAAUAACCGAACUAGACUCCAUGUCUAAUCAGAUUAAGGAAGGCUGUUUAACCUAAGCACCAUGCUUAAUUUAAAAGUCAGUAGAAGUAUGUGCAGUACUUCCAAACUAACACUUACUAGGAUAAACAAAGGUAGUGUGAUGGCUUUUAUAGAGAUCUACUCA